AAGAACACAUUUCUUAAUAAAGUCAUUACAGCUACACAAGCAGGGACCACUGUUAAAAAUCCACUAUAAAGCGAGCAGAGGAAAACUCUGCCUCAUGUUCUUUCUCUGCCUGUCAAGACUUCUGCAACCAUGCUUCUCUGUUUCUAGAUAAUGCAUUCAGAUGUUGCUGAAACGCUAGUUUCAAAGUCAGGUUUGGAAGGUAAUGUAAAUAUUGGCUAAGGACUGAAAAGGGACGAAGGAAUAUGAAGAUGCCACAGUCCCCACCCUGCAGGUCUCCUGUGGAAUCCACAUGGGAGAAAGGUGGGAGAAAGAACGCUUUUCUAGGUGAGCUCCCCGACCCUCCUUCUCUAUGGCAGAAAGCAAAAGUAGGCUGACUGCCUCUGACUGUUGGGGUCAUGAGCAAGGUUGAGAAAACAACACGUUCAUACAAGCUCUUGUUUGCCUGAAAGACAAUAAUAGCCCUUGACCUAAGUGUGGGCCAUCAAUCCUUAUUUCUUCUCUUCCUCCAAAGAAUCUAUACCGAUCCUUGCCCUGGAAAAGAGAGGGGCAAAGAAAAGAUUGACAUUUGAGAAGAGCCCCAAGUUAAAAAGGGUCUCUUUGGACAGGUUGCACAUUGAACAAGACCUUUGGCUUUGGCAACUGAUGAGCUGUACGUUGGCGUAAGAAAGGAGAACUGGUAAUCUUUUUAACAGGAGAAGAAGUAUUUAUGUUUUAAUUUAUCUUUUGAUAUUCCUUAUGCUUUUUUUUCAGUUUUGCUAAAGAGAAGUAAGGAGAAGGGUUUGCUUUUUGUUCACACUUGGACCAGAAAGGAAAGAGGAAAGAGUAUGCCCUGGGGAGCUGUGGCUUGUGUUCCCAGCAGAAAUAAAAGUGUCUGUAAAGGGUGGGUAUAGGCGGAAGUGCCGAAGAAAAGCAUCCUUUGCCCCGCUCAGAGCCUUUCCUUGCUUUUUUCUAGGAGUCUGUGUUUUAAUUGCUUAAGAGAAAGUCCUUUUAACCCCUCUAAUUUGAGACUCAUUCAAAUAGUAGGAGAAAGGUAUAUUAGAUUGAUUUAGAGGCAAUUGCUGAUAUUUGAGUGUUUUGGGCCUACAAAAAGUGCAAUUUGCUGUUGUUCAACCCAACCCAAAACACACACACACACACACACACACACACACACACACAAGGUGCUAAACUCUAAGCUAGCAUCACGGCCAUUAACUUUCUUUCAGAAGAAAAGAGGAGAAGACUGGAUUUCAAGGAUGCUGACUAGCAUUUCGACUCAGUGCAACUGAGGUACCCAUUCAAUUUUUGCUGGAGAAGUUGGAAGGCAAAUAAGCUAGAUGGGCCAAAUAACCACAUCACAGUUUGGGAGGUGCACUGCACUUAAUUUCCAUUAAAUUGUGAGAAUGGAUAUAGAAGUCACAGCUGCUUUUAAGUUUGAACAUGCUACUCUACUUCCACUGGUUUUAAGGGAGGCUGCAGUUCUGGAGUUUUGCUGUAACCUCACAUCUCAGUCUGCAAAAUCUUGUAAAGAGCUCUGGGACCCAAUGCUGGGAUAAGUCUCAUAUGACGGCAUUACUAUCCUUGGACACAGCAAGGUGCAAUCUGGAUGCAGUUCCUAAGCUGGUUUGCUUUUGGUGAAGGGCUAAUUUCUCGAUUGUCCAGGGAAAUAUAUUGAUGGGGACAGAUUGAUGCAGCAGAUGAGAAGAUACAUGGACUGGAUGGGAAAGUACUUUGCAAGGAAGAUGAUUCAAACCCAACUCAGGUUGGGGGAAAUGGAUUUUUAAAAUAAAUGAAAUUUCAGGA